rnacentral:rRNA from 1 species
GAUGAACGCUGGCGGCGUGCCUAAUACAUGCAAGUCGAGCGAACAGACGAGGAGCUUGCUCCUCUGACGUUAGCGGCGGACGGGUGAGUAACACGUGGAUAACCUACCUAUAAGACUGGGAUAACUUCGGGAAACCGGAGCUAAUACCGGAUAAUAUAUUGAACCGCAUGGUUCAAUAGUGAAAGACGGUUUUGCUGUCACUUAUAGAUGGAUCCGCGCCGCAUUAGCUAGUUGGUAAGGUAACGGCUUACCAAGGCAACGAUGCGUAGCCGACCUGAGAGGGUGAUCGGCCACACUGGAACGGAGACACGGUCCAGACUCCUACGGGAGGCAGCAGUAGGGAAUCUUCCGCAAUGGGCGAAAGCCUGACGGAGCAACGCCGCGUGAGUGAUGAAGGUCUUCGGAUCGUAAAACUCUGUUAUUAGGGAAGAACAAAUGUGUAAGUAACUAUGCACGUCUUGACGGUACCUGAUCAGAAAGCCACGGCUAACUACGUG